rnacentral:rRNA from 1 species
UACGUAGGGUGCAAGCGUUAAUCGGAAUUACUGGGCGUAAAGCGUGCGCAGGCGGUUGUGCAAGACCGAUGUGAAAUCCCCGGGCUCAACCUGGGAAUGGCAUUGGUGACUGUACGGCUGAGAGUGUGUCAGGAGGGGGUAGAAUUCCACGUGUAGCAGUGAAAUGCGUAGAGAUGUGGAGGAAUACCGAUGGCGAAGGCAGCCCCUGGGACUACACUGACGCUCAUGCACGAAAGCGUGGGAGCAAACAGG